rnacentral:rRNA from 1 species
CCCUUAGAUGUCCUGGGCUGCACGCGCGCUACACUGAUGUGUCCAGUAAGCACCUAACCUCUUCCGAAAGGAACGGGUAACCUUUGCAAAGCACAUCGUGAUGGGGAUAGAUUAUUGCAAUUAUUAGUCUUGAACGAGGAAUUCCUAGUAAGCACAAGUCAUCAGCUUGUGUUGAUUACGUCCCUGCCCUUUGUACACACCGCCCGUCGCUCCUACCGAUUGAAUGUUCUGGUGAGCUCUUCGGACUGCGCGGUCUGCAGUUUCUGCGUUCCGUGCGGAAAGUUGCGCAAACCUUAACAUUUAGAGGAAGGAGAAGUCGUAACA